rnacentral:rRNA from 1 species
UACGUAGGGUGCGAGCGUUAAUCGGAAUUACUGGGCGUAAAGCGUGCGCAGGCGGUUGUGCCAGACAGAUGUGAAAUCCCCGGGCUUAACCUGGGAACUGCAUUUGUGACUGCACAGCUGGAGUGCGGCAGAGGGGGAUGGAAUUCCGCGUGUAGCAGUGAAAUGCGUAGAUAUGCGGAGGAACACCGAUGGCGAAGGCAAUCCCCUGGGCCUGCACUGACGCUCAUGCACGAAAGCGUGGGGAGCAAACAGG